UCAUUAAAUCAGUUAUAGUUUAUUUGAUGGUUCUUUACUACUUGGAUAACCGUGGUAAUUCUAGAGCUAAUACAUGCACAAAGUCCCGACUGUUCGGAAGGGAUGUAUUUAUUAGAUCCAAAACCAAUGCGAGUCUCUCGGGGCUCGGUUUCUUGGUGAUUCAUGAUAACUGCUCGAACCGUAUGGCCCUUGCGCCGACGGUGCUUCAUUCAAAUUUCUGCCCUAUCAACUUUCGAUGGUACGGUAGUGGCCUACCAUGGUUGCAACGGGUGACGGAGAAUUAGGGUUCGAUUCCGGAGAGGGAGCCUGAGAAACGGCUACCACAUCCAAGGAAGGCAGCAGGCGCGCAAAUUACCCAAUCCCGACUCGGGGAGGUAGUGACAAUAAAUAACAA
rnacentral:rRNA from 3 species